rnacentral:rRNA from 1 species
AACGAACGCUGGCGGCAGGCUUAACACAUGCAAGUCGAGCGAGACCUUCGGGUCUAGCGGCGGACGGGUGAGUAACGCGUGGGAACGUGCCCUUCUCUACGGAAUAGCCCCGGGAAACUGGGAGUAAUACCGUAUACGCCCUUUGGGGGAAAUAUUUAUCGGAGAAGGAUCGGCCCGCGUUGGAUUAGGUAGUUGGUGGGGUAAUGGCCCACCAAGCCGACGAUCCAUAGCUGGUUUGAGAGGAUGAUCAGCCACACUGGGACUGAGACACGGCCCAGACUCCUACGGGAGGCAGCAGUGGGGAAUCUUAGACAAUGGGGGCAACCCUGAUCUAGCCAUGCCGCGUGAGUGAUGAAGGCCUUAGGGUUGUAAAGCUCUUUCAGCUGGGAAGAUAAUGACGGUACCAGCAGAAGAAGCCCCGGCUAACUCCGUG